rnacentral:rRNA from 1 species
AGCAAUUGACAUUAGCGACAGAAGAAGCACCGGCUAACUCCGUGCCAGCAGCCGCGGUAAUACGGAGGGUGCGAGCGUUAAUCGGAAUUACUGGGCGUAAAGGGCACGCAGGCGGUUAAUUAAGUUGGAUGUGAAAUCCCCGGGCUUAACCUGGGAAUGGCAUUCAAGACUGGUUAGCUAGAGUCUUGUAGAGGGGGGCAGAAUUCCAUGUGUAGCGGUGAAAUGCGUAGAGAUGUGGAGGAAUACCGGUGGCGAAGGCGGCCCCCUGGACAAAGACUGACGCUCAUGUGCGAAAGCGUGGCGAGCAAACAGGAUUAGAUACCCUGGUAGUCCACGCUGUAAACGAUGUCGAUUUGGAGGGCGAGCAAACAGGAUUAGAUACCCUGGUAGUCCACGCUGUAAACGAUGUCGAUUUGGAGGGGCCGCAAGGUUAAAACUCAAAUGAAUUGACGGGGGCCCGCACAAGCGGUGGAGCAUGUGGUUUAAUUCGAUGCAACGCGAAGAACCUUACCUACUCUUGACAUCCAGCGAAUCCUUUAGAGAUAGAGGAGUGCCUUCGGGAGCGCUGAGACAGGUGCUGCAUGGCUGUCGUCAGCUCGUGUUGUGAAAUGUUGGGUUAAGUCCCGCAACGAGCGCAACCCUUAUCCUUUGUUGCCAGCGAGUAGAGUCGGGAACUCAAAGGAGACUGCCGGUGAUAAACCGGAGGAAGGUGGGGAUGACGUCAAGUCAUCAUGGCCCUUACGAGUAGGGCUACACACGUGCUACAAUGGCGUAUACAGAGAGAGGCGAGCCAGCGAUGGGGAGCGGAACUCAGAAAGUACGUCGAAGUCCGGAUUGGAGUCUGCAACUCGACUCCAUGAAGUCGGAAUCGCUAGUAAUCGCGGAUCAGCAUGUCGCGGUGAAUACGUUCCCGGGCCUUGUACACACCGCCCGUCACACCAUGGGAGUGGGUUGCAAAAGAAGUAGGUAGCUUAACCUUUUGGAUGGCGCUUACCACUUUGUGAUUCAUGACUGGGGUGAAGUCGUAACAAGGUAACCGUAGGGGAACCUGCGGUUGGAUCACCUCCUUA